rnacentral:tRNA from 2 species
GCGAGCGUAGUCUAGUGGUUAUGAUGUCUGCUUUACAUUAUACAAUGUAUAGCCCCCCAAACGCAGAAGGUCGGGAGUUCGACCCUCCCCGCUCGUA